AAGAAAGUGAGGACUGGGCCGGGCGCGGUGGCUCAUGCCUGUAAUCCCAGCACUUUGGGAGGCUGAGUCGGGUGGAUCACGAGAGAAUGGCAUCAUUUCCUGGUGGUCAACAUGAAGGGCAAUGACAUCAGCAGUGGCACAGUCCUCUCCGAUUAUGUGGGCUCGGGGCCUCCCAAGGGCACAGGCCUCCACCGCUAUGUCUGGCUGGUUUACGAGCAGGACAGGCCGCUAAAGUGUGACGAGCCCAUCCUCAGCAACCGAUCUGGAGACCACCGUGGCAAAUUCAAGGUGGCGUCCUUCCGUAAAAAGUAUGAGCUCAGGGCCCCGGUGGCCGGCACAUGUUACCAGGCCGAGUGGGAUGACUAUGUGCCCAAACUGUACGAGCAGCUGUCUGGGAAGUAGGGGGUUAGCUUGGGUACCUGAACUGUCCUGGAGGCCCCAAGCCAUGUUCCCCAGUUCAGUGUUGCAUGUAUAAUAGAUUUCUCCUCUUCCUGCCCCCCUUGGCAUGGGUGAGACCUGACCAGUCAGAUGGUAGUUGAGGGUGACUUUUCCUGCUGCCUGGCCUUUAUAAUUUUACUCACUCACUCUGAUUUAUGUUUUGAUCAAAUUUGAACUUCAUUUUGGGGGGUAUUUUGGUACUGUGAUGGGGUCAUCAAAUUAUUAAUCUGAAAAUAGCAACCCAGAAUGUAAAAAAGAAAAAAUUGGGGG
rnacentral:sRNA from 1 species